ACCUACGGGGCGCAGCAGUGGGGAAUAUUGCACAAUGGGGGAAACCCUGAUGCAGCAACGCCGCGUGAGUAAAGAAGUAUUUCGGUAUGUAAAGCUCUAUCAGCAGGGAAGAAGAUGACGGUACCUGAUUAAGAAGCCCCGGCUAACUACGUGCCAGCAGCCGCGGUAAUACGUAGGGGGCAAGCGUUAUCCGGAUUUACUGGGUGUAAAGGGAGCGCAGACGGCAGUGCAAGUCUGGAGUGAAAGCCCGGGGCCCAACCCCGGAACUGCUCUGGAAACUGUGUAACUUGAGUGCAGGAGAGGUA
rnacentral:rRNA from 1 species